GAUGAAGAACGCAGCGAAAUGCGAUAAGUAAUGUGAAUUGCAGAAUUCAGUGAAUCAUCGAAUCUUUGAACGCACAUUGCGCCCGCCAGUAUUCUGGCGGGCAUGCCUGUUCGAGCGACAUUACAACCCUCAGGCCCCCGGGCCUGGCGUUGGGGAUCGGCGGAAGCCCCCUGCGGGCACAACGCCGUCCCCCAAAUACAGUGGCGGUCCCGCCGCAGCUUCCAUUGCGUAGUAGCUAACACCUCGCAACUGGAGAGCGGCGCGGCCACGCCGUAAAACACCCAACUUCUGAAUGUUGACCUCGAAUCAGGUAGGAAUACCCGCUGAACUUAAGCAUAUCAAUAAGCGGAGGA
rnacentral:misc_RNA from 1 species